rnacentral:rRNA from 1 species
UACGUAGGGUGCGAGCGUUAAUCGGAAUUACUGGACGUAAAGCGUGCGCAGGCGGUUUUGUAAGCCAGAUGUGAAAUCCCCGGGCUUAACCUGGGAAUGGCAUUUGGGACUGCAAGGCUCGAGUGCGGCAGAGGAGACUGGAAUUCCUGGUGUAGCAGUGAAAUGCGUAGAUAUCAGGAGGAACACCGAUGGCGAAGGCAGGUCUCUGGGCUGACACUGACGCUCAUGCACGAAAGCGUGGGGAGCAAACAGG